rnacentral:rRNA from 1 species
GUAGGUGGCAAGCGUUGUCCGGAAUUAUUGGGCGUAAAGCGCGCGCAGGCGGGUCCUUUAAGUCUGAUGUGAAAGCCCACGGGCUCAACCGUGGAGGGUCAUUGGAAACUGGGGGACUUGAGUACAGAAGAGGAAAGCGGAAUUCCACGUGUAGCGGUGAAAUGCGUAGAGAUGUGGAGGAACACCAGUGGCGAAGGCGGCUUUCUGGUCUGUAACUGACGCUGAGGCGCGAAAGCGUGGGGAGCAAACAGGAUUAGAUACCCUGGUAGUCCACGCCGUAAACGAUGAGUGCUAAGUGUUAGGGGGUUUCCGCCCCUUAGUGCUGCAGCUAACGCAUUAAGCACCCCGCCUGGGGAGUACGGCCGCAAAGGCUG